rnacentral:lncRNA from 1 species
UUUUUUUUUUUUAAUGAUUAAGAAAUUAAAUAAAAAUGUGAGUACAAAAGGCAGAGUUAAUGAUGACUACAAAGGGAAGGAUAAGGAAAUGGCAGUUCCUUGACUAUUGAUUGGAUCCUUGUCCAUUUUAUGAGUCUUUACCUUCCUGCAGUAAAUUCGGAUCGUUCAGCACGCAAAUGUCCCAACGUGUUCUCAUGCAGAAGAUGAGAGGAUCCUCAUUACAGAAAAACGCCAACUUUUUUGCACUUGGUAUGAUAAUUAGAGGAACCGUUUAAGAACCCCAUGGAUGCUCUUGGGCGUCAUCCUAGCUGCCAUUCAGGCCCUCCGAGUCCUGCAGGAUGCGCUUGUUUGUCGUCACCUGGAGCCGAUGGACCAGGAGCGAAGCGCAGAUGGAGGGGUGAAGGGUGGCGACCGCCCAAUGACUCGUGCGCGGCUUCGGUGGCCCAGCAGGUGACAGGUGCGUGGGGAAGGCCCUGGGCACCCACCGCGUCUAAGGCAGAGCCCCCACCGACGCCUCGAGCUUCCACUGUCAAGGGCAGGGGCCCCGCGGGAGGCGGCCACGCCCGGGGUCAGGGCAGCGCGGGGACCCGCGGGGACACAGCUUGCGGUGCCAGGCCCUGGUCGCGUCCUGCUCCCACAGGGGCCUGCAGUCCUGAGCGUCCCCCCAGAAGCGGCCCUGCGGCCCCCGGGGAGCCAGGAGGUUGACCAAGAUGCCCGUCUGGGUCCCGGAGGACGGAGCCACCUCCUUCCAGCCCCCCGCGACUGCGAGCAGGUGGCCGUGCCGCCGAGCCAGAGCCUGUACACGGCCCAGAACACGACGUCAGCGAGGAGAAGGCGCAGGCCGCAGGCUGGAGCUCGGGCUGGCGGCGCCCAGGCCUGUGCUGCACCGGCGGGGCCACGCGCCUAGGAAGCCACUUUCACAACGGACACAUAUGAUCUGACCCCCAGCACACCCUCGAAGCUUCCCGAAUUGUGAAGCCCUGCUGGGGGUGGAGCGGUUCUGCUUUAGGGCAGCACCUGACACACCACCGCUCCCCGUCCAAGGUGCCCUCACAGGCAAGCACUCAGGACCGCGGCAGCCCCGCACCCCCCGCACCCUCCUGCAGCCGAGCUGGCGAGGACGUAACAGAUGGGCCUUGGCUUCCAACAGGCCGCCCCCAGCCUGGGGAGAGCUCGGCCCUGGGCAGGAAGAGGCACCAGCACUCUCUGAGGUAGGAAGACCGCCACCACUGAUCUUAGGACACAGAGGAUGGCCUGUAACCCUCAAAGCAUGAAGAGAAGGGGAAGGUUUAAGGGGAAGAUCUUUCUACUAAGAUUGAGGUUCGACUGGAAACAAUUUUUUCAAGAACCCUCUAUGUGCCGGCCCCCGGUUAGGUGCUGUAGCCUGUCACCCCUUUUAAUUCUUCCAAUUUGGAGCCAAGUCCGUGACCACACGCCGAGACCAGAGAGAUGUGAUAUCAAAGCACCCACCCAGCCCCAUUUACCUGGAAAUUUAAAAGCUGAUUUAAAGGCCAAACGGCUGUCAUACCCAGACAUCAGCACACAGACAGUCCUUUCCCCCUAACCUGGGGAGUCUCAACUUCUCUACGCAUAAAAGUUACCGCUCAGGCUUGAAUAUACAAAAUCACGUCUUAUGAAUUAUUUCAGAGCUUCCCCAGGGUUUAGUCUCUGCAAUAUUCUAACCAUUAGAACCUAACACCUGUAGGAGCUCCCCCUCCCCUCACCUGCACGGCUGAGUGCCUAGUUGGUGCUUGAUACCAAGAGUGAACUCGAUCCAUGGUUUGCUUUCCAUGAAGGAGUUUCAAGAGAAGUGUUAAGGGCUUGUCACAUCUAGCAGUUUAUUUUAGCGGAGGGCAAGCGUGUGGACCCCAAUGGUCCACUAAAGGCAGGUCAACAAGCACACAUUCAAGCAGAACACAUCCAGACCCUGUUGAAACAAUUUUUUUUUUAUCGUUCCUAGGUCACUUUCAGUACUACAUGAAGCAAUCCCCCGCUCCUCUAUCCAAUCCUAUGUGAAAAAGUUAAAAAGGAAUUUUAUUUUAGAACAGAUACACCUUUAGAAAUAUAUAAUAAAUCUUAAAAAAAAAAAAGAAAUCUAUAAUAAAUCUUAAAGUCUGAAAGAAGAGGGCUUUUGACUAUAAAAUUCAUUUAACGUGAAAUUCUAAACCAAACUGGGACAGACUGGAUGGGAAAAAGUGAAACUGAAGAUAGGAUCUUGCCUUUCACAAAAUUUCACGUGGAGAACUUACCUUAUCAAUCUUAUUUUAGGUGCACAGCACCUUAACUAAAAACCAUCAUCGGCUUGUCUUAACUGUCUGAAGAAAGAUACUGUUCACCUGCUAAGUGACAAGAGUGAUGAACAAGCACGUUUUCCAUGCCUUCUUAAAGGGCAAUAAUUAUAAGCAUCUGAGAUACUCACAUUUCUUAGACAACCACGGUGACAUCCUGCCUUCACUCUGGCUCUCCUGCAAACACUUCCGUCUGCCUUGUAGCUAGGGUGACCUUUGCAAUUUUUUUCCCCUGACAAUGAUGAUCAAUUUUAAAGAUGGACAUUAAAUAUUUACAUUUAAUAAAUUAAAAUUUUAAAGCAGAAAAAAAAAAAAA